GACGAACGCUGGCGGCGUGCUUAACACAUGCAAGUCGAACGAAGUGGCGAACGGGUGAGUAACGCGUAAUCAACCUGCCCUUCAGAGGGGGACAACAGUUGGAAACGACUGCUAAUACCGCAUACUGAAGGAGGGGAUUGCGUCUGAUUAGCUAGUUGGAGGGGUAACGGCCCACCAAGGCGAUGAUCAGUAGCCGGGCGGGAAGGAUGGACGGCCAAAGUGGGACUGAGACACGGCCCCGACUCCUAAGGGAGGGCGCCGUGGGGAAUCUUCCGCAAUGGACGGAAGUCUGACGGAGCAACGCCGCGUGAGUGGUGACGGCCGUCGGGUUGUAAAGCUCUGUUAAUCGGGACGCGGUACCGGAAUAGAAAGCCACGGCUAACUACGUGCCAGCAGCCGCGGUAAUUC
rnacentral:rRNA from 1 species